GACGAACGCUGGCGGCGUGCUUAACACAUGCAAGUCGAACGGAAAGGCCCUGCUUUUGUGGGGUGCUCGAGUGGCGAACGGGUGAGUAACACGUGAGUAACCUGCCCUUGACUUUGGGAUAACUUCAGGAAACUGGGGCUAAUACCGGAUAGGAGCUCUUGCUCCAUGUUGGGGGUUGGAAAGUUUCGGCGGUUGGGGAUGGACUCGCGGCUUAUCAGCUGGUUGGUGGGGUAGUGGCUUACCAAGGCUUUGACGGGUAGCCGGCCUGAGAGGGUGACCGGCCACAUUGGGACUGAGAUACGGCCCAGACUCCUACGGGAGGCAGCAGUGGGGAAUAUUGCACAAUGGGCGGAAGCCUGAUGCAGCAACGCCGCGUGCGGGAUGACGGCCUUCGGGUUGUAAACCGCUUUCGCCUGUGACGAAGCGUGAGUGACGGUAAUGGGUAAAGAAGCACCGGCUAACUACGUG
rnacentral:rRNA from 1 species